GAUGAACGCUGGCGGCGUGCCUAAUACAUGCAAGUCGAGCGAACAGACGAGGAGCUUGCUCCUCUGACGUUAGCGGCGGACGGGUGAGUAACACGUGGAUAACCUACCUAUAAGACUGGGAUAACUUCGGGAAACCGGAGCUAAUACCGGAUAAUAUAUUGAACCGCAUGGUUCAAUAGUGAAAGACGGUUUUGCUGUCACUUAUAGAUGGAUCCGCGCCGCAUUAGCUAGUUGGUAAGGUAACGGCUUACCAAGGCAACGAUGCGUAGCCGACCUGAGAGGGUGAUCGGCCACACUGGAACUGAGACACGGUCCAGACUCCUACGGGAGGCAGCAGCAGGGAAUCUUCCGCAAUGGGCGAAAGCCUGACGGAGCAACGUCGCGUGAGUGAUGAAGGUCUUCGGAUCGUAAAACUCUGUUAUUAGGGAAGAACAAAUGUGUAAGUAACUAUGCACGUCUUGACGGUACCUAAUCAGAAAGCCACGGCUAACUACGUG
rnacentral:rRNA from 1 species